GUCAGAGACCAAGUGGUAAGGCAUUGGUCUUGUAAACCAAAGAUCAUGGGUUCAAUCCCCAUCUGUGACU
rnacentral:tRNA from 1 species